UACGGAAGGAGCUAGCGUUGUUCGGAUUUACUGGGCGUAAAGCGCAUGUAGGCGGCGGAUCAAGUGAGGCGUGAAAGGCCUGGGCUCAACCUGGGAACGGCGCUUCAGACUGAUUGGCUCGAGUUCGGGAGAGGGUGGUGGAAUUUCCAGUGUAGAGGUGAAAUUCGUAGAUAUUGGAAGGAACACCGGUGGCGAAGGCGGCCACCUGGCCCGAGACUGACGCUCAAGUGCGAAAGCGUGGGGAGCAAACAGG
rnacentral:rRNA from 1 species